ensembl:lncRNA
UUUUUUUUUUUUUGUUUGUUUUUUUUAAAUCUGUUUAGGAGCUGAAUCAAGUGACUGCACUCUGAGGGCUGGUAAAGAGCAAGGAGUUCUUUUAAACAAAAGUAGAUUGAUUGUGAAAUGAGCAAUGCAGAGUGAUGGGUCCAAGAUCGCAAGAAAUUAAAUUUGCUAAUUUAGGACAUAACUCUCGGAUGUGCCUAUGAUCAUGGACAAUAUGGAAAGGCAAUGGAAUGAAAAAUUGCAAAAUCAUUCUUAUAUUGGACAGGGAUGACCUGCAUCAAUAUCAACUGACUUUAUUUUAUGGUGGCACACUGAGGAAAAGUGAUGCCACAUUCUUGUUUCAGCUUGACAGGAACACAAAUCACAGCUGACAGUAAUUUGAAUUCUUUUGGAUGUAGAUGCAGAAGUUGCCAAUGUUCACCACUGAAACAGGAUGAACCUUUGGCAACCAGUCUAGGGACUGAGUGAAAGACCACUGGAGACCUGUUGAAGUACAAGAGGGAGAUUCAUUCUCUGCUUGUGUUCUGUUCCUGUUCUGAUCUUUACUAAAAGGAAUGCAGAAUUUUUUAUUGCUGCUUAUUGCUUCUUCAUGUAGUUGCAUAGUGAGUUCCAUGUCUCUCUAUGUGGAUUAACUACAGCAUCAAAAAUACACAGGUCUUCAUUCUAUCCUAUCCUUUUGUUGUUCUGCCAAGUAAAAGGAAAGAUAAUUUUGUUAUCCAGAGAGUCACUUUUAGGUAUUGAUCAGGUUUCAUGUGAUAAGCCCUCCAGCACUAGUUUGCCAGCAUCAAAGCAUCGUGCUUUUUCUUUCAGGUCUUCUGUUUUUUUCUUUUCUGUAACCCCUUGGGUAGUAGUCAUUGAAAGAUACAACCACUUUUUGCCAGUACAUAAAAUAAAAUUAUUCAUUAUUUAGAGAUUUUUGAACAUUUUUGGGUAGCAUAAAGCUCUCAUAAAUACUCCUGAAUGCUCAAAAAACAUAUUUUUGAGUGCUUGUGUACACAACAAAUAACAUCUUCUAGUGUUUAGGUGUUCCUAGGUAUUGAAUCACUUACAAAAUGGAAUUUGAAUAUUAACAUAUUACUACAGCAUCUAAACAUUUUUUAAAUGCAUGAACUUAAAAAAAAAAUAAUAACUAAUUCUUCUUGAAACACUAAAGUUAAGCACUGGUAGAUUUUAAUCUGUUUCAUUAGAGUGAACCUGCUCUAGGCCAGAAUUGUCCCUAGUAACUCAAAAAUAUUGAAAGAAACAGGAACUGAGAGAGAUCUGUGUAUGUAAAGGUGGGCUUCAGAUAACAUAAAUGAGUUAGAGAAUAGCAUAUUUGCUAUGACAUUGCACAGUAAGUGAUAGUGUGAUUGUUUAUUUUCCUAAUAAUAUUCCUGAAAGAUGUUUGAAAAGGUUUCUCUUUGAUCGGUGAUCCCUAAUCCACAACAGGGCACAUGCAUCUGCAUGCCUUCUCAUAGAUAAUUUAAAAGUAACAUUUAUAAGCUUCUGCUGUAACAGUAAAAUGUAUGCAGUCAGAAAAUAGAGUACUCCAUUCCUUAUCUCCUCCUAGAACUGACAUGUCAUCCACCCAUUGAACAAGUAUCUAUUGUCCACUUCUUGAUUUUAGAUGUGGAGAGCUUUAGAGUACAAUGACCAGGACAGGAACAAAUCAAAACCUUCACAUAAUAUACAACAAUCCACAAGUGUCACAUAUCUUUGAUGCAUUUUCAGAUAGAUUGUUUGUAUUGCACAGAGUCCUAGAUAUCAUUAAGUACAUUUAAAUGUAUUUACUAGGAAUGCAGAGAAUAUGAGCAGAUGUUCCUGCUUCUUUCUGUAAGACACUGAGUGGCCAGAUGUUUUAAAAGUUUCUUCCAAUUUUGGACAUUACAAAAGUUUUAAAAACAGAUAGAAUGUUUCAGACGACCUUGCUUAGCUUGAUGUUGUACUCAAAAUCUGAGUCACUGGUGGUCAAAAACUUUUAAGGCUAAGUGUUCAGUUAUCAGUACAACAAAGUGGUAAACCAGAAGAAAGUUAUAUAGUAUUAUAUAUUGCUGUUCUUUGGGGGUAGAUUUGCAAAUGGGACAUGCUAGUCAUAAAGCAGAGCAUUGCUACCUGAAACCAAUCCAGAAAAAACGAUUGUUUCAGAUUUACCAUUAAUUCUCUGAAUGCACUGACUGACCACCAAUGACUUAAUCUCUAUUGCUUUAUUAUUCAUUGCAGUGAGAUUAGUCAUAUACUUAAUAACUCUUCUGAAUCAGGAUAUAAUUUCAUAAACUACAGUGUUCUACUGCCUAAUUUAAGAGCAUAACUUCUAUCUGCCAAAUGAUUUCUAUUUGAUGAAAGUUUUGUCUUUGUGAAAUCAGAUGACUACUCCGCUCAUUUCACUUCCCCUGUCACUCCUUGAUCACGUGAAAUGUUCUGUGAGGAUAAAAUGGUUAUCCUUACAUCCUUAGGCAGACUUUUAGGGAGGGGCUGUGUUGAGUUUAUGUGAUGGAAAGCGCUCUGAAGGGGAGGAUUCUGUAUGGAAGAGUCCAGAAAUUGCCCCAUGCCAGAUCAGAGACAGCUCCAGUUGGCUCAGAAAGGGACCCACUGCUGGCCAGAGCUGAGCCAUAAGCGACAUGGGGAAAUGGCUUUAAACUGGAAGAGGGUAGAUUUAGACUAGAUGUUAGGAAGCAGUUCUUCACUGUGAGGGUGAUGAAAUAUUGGACCAGGUUGACCAGUGAGGUUGUGAAUGUCCCCUCCCUGCAAGCAUUCAAGGCCAGGAUGCAUGGGGCUUUGAGCAACCUAGUCUAGAGGGAAGUGUCCCUGACUAUAGCAGGGUGCUGGAACUGGAUGAUCUUAAAGAUCAUCUAGUGUCCUUUCCAACCCAAACGCCUUUCAGGCAACUGUAGAGAGCAAGAGGUCCCUCUAGAGCCUCCCCUUCUUCACACUAAACAAUCCCAGUUUCCUCCCUCUCCCCAUAAAACUAUUGCUCCAAUCUUCUCAACUUCAUUGUCCUUCUCUGGACACACUCCAGGUCCUCUAUGUCCUUCUUGUAGUGAGAGGCCCAAAACUAAACACACUAUCAAGAUGUAGCCACACAAGAUGAGUACAGGUGGAUAAUCACUUCCUUGCUCCUGCUGGCAGCUAUAUUUCUGAUACAAGCUAGGAUGCCACUGGUCUUCUUGGUUACCUGGGCACACUGCUGACUCAUGUUCAGCUGAGCAUCAAUCAGUGCCCCCAGGUCUAUUUCCUCAACACGGUCUUCCAGCCACUCUUCCCCAAGCCUGUAGCGUUGCCUGGAGUUGUUGCAGCCAAAGUGCAUGACCCAACUUGUUCCAGUGCCUCACCACCCCCACAGAAAAGAAUGUAUUCAUUAAUCUAAAUCUACCCUCCCUGUCUUUCCUAUAGGCCCCAGUUAAGUACUGGAAGUUCACUAUUAGGUCACCCUGAAGGUUCACUUAUUUAAACUAAACUAUCUCAACUCUCUCAGCCUGACUUCACAGUGCUCCGGCCCUCUGAUCAGCCUCAUGGCCUUCCUUUGGACUCACUCCAACAAAUCCGUGUCUUUCUUAUGCUAAGGGGCCCAGAGCUGAACAUAGUACACCAGGCUGCGUCUCAUGAGAGCAAAGGGAGAGUCAGAAUCACCUUUCACCUGCUGGUCACAAUUCUCUUGAUGCAGCACAGGAUACAUUUAGCUUUCAGGUUACAGGUGUGCACUGCUGUCUCAUAUUCUGUUUUUUAUUGACAGAGAUUUUCUCCUCAGAGCUGUUCUCAGUCUCUUUAUGCAGCCUGUAUUUGUGCUUGAAAUUGCCCCAACUCAUUUGAAGGACCUUACAUUGAACACUAUGAUGUUUGCAUCGGCCCACUUCUUAAGCUUGUCAAAGUCCUUCUGGAUGGCAUAUCUUCCCUCCAGUAUGUUGGCUGCAGAACACAGCUUGGUGACAUCCAACACCUAUUUCUUCUAAGUACUGAGAGAAGGAUAAACCUGAUCGAGUCAACUGCUCUGUUACCAUUUCAUUCUGAAGGCUUUCUUUGAACUCAGUAUUAAAAAUAUCAAUACUCAGUAAUGUCAAUACAGAAAGAGAUGUUAUUUUACUCUCCCAAAUGAGAUGAUGCAGCCAGUAGCAAACUGAGAAUAUCUCUCAAACAAGAACAAGAAAGAAUACUUGUGACAGAUGAACUUUGCUGUCAUUCCCAUACCCAAUUUUGAAUGACACGAAGCUUCUGACUGCUUAGAUUUAUUUUAAUGAUGUCCUUAGACUGAAAGCUUAUGUUUGUAAAAACAUAUAGAGUAUCAUGCUAGUGACAAUAGAUAAAAAAUAAAUAAUGAGCCUCAGUGAGAAAGUUUUCUGAGUUUAAGCCUACAAAUCAAAUCCUCCAUGCCUCUAUUAUGCCUUCUGUCAGCAUUAAGUUGAUCCCACCAUCAGAGAAGUUAUAACUCUGUGAAUCACUAUUUACUCUAGUUAGUGCUUCACAGUGAUCAACUUAGGAGCUCCAUGGUCAUCCAAAAAGCUCAAAUUUAGCAUAUUUGACAAUGAAAAUAGACACCUAGUUUUGUUUUCUUUGUCGAUAGAAGUAUUUCAACCUC